UACGACAGCAAGUAAACUUUUCCGCAACAAAAAAUAAAUCAAAUUAAAUUCUGUUGACGCACGCACAAAAUGCAAAUUAUCUUCGCUUCCCAAAAGUAUGCAACCUACGGCAAAGGAAAAUUCCGUGAGAAAAGGUCGCUGCUGUCGUCAUUGUCCUAAGCAUACAAUGGAUUUAUGCGUGAAUAAUGCGUAUACGUAUCGAAUCGGAGGCGGCAACCGUCAGCAAUUUGCUUCCACUUCAGUGACUGCCGGGUUACCAAACGAAAAAGAAGUUACGAAAAUGUUAAACCGGGUACUCAGUGCAAAAGCUAACCAUAACAAGGGCUUGUGGAAAAUUUCAAACACGUGAAAGCAAAUCGUUUACUCAAUAAAGUUAAACUUCAAAGAAAGCUAGCAUACUGGUGUUAGUGAUAGCAUGGUGACACCAUUCCUUAAUCAUAUUUUAAAUUUUACAAUUACGCAAGAAA
rnacentral:sRNA from 1 species